rnacentral:lncRNA from 1 species
GGAACAUGACGUCGCGAAACACUCAAACCAACAUGGAUAUGGAAAAAUGGGACAAAUCUCAAGUUUGAGGGAGAAUGUAAAAGAAGAGUCGAUCAAAUGCAACACCAAGACACCACAACAUCAUAGGCAAUACUGACAUUUCAGGGAAGUCCUCCUCCUUUUCCUUUAAAUUUCACAUUGAGGACAAUGUUUCAGUUAAGUUUGGGGGAGUGACAUCAUUUGCUUACAUUGUUGAGUUUCUCGAAUGCUUAUGUGUGAUUUGCUUGUUUUAUGUGUUUGUAUUUUUAUUCAAAAAGAAAAAAAAA